ACACUCUUGUUUCUCUUCAUAUCGUAUAAAUCUUUCGCCUUUUACUAAAGAUUUCCGUGGAAAGGAACAUUAUGAGUAUUAUCUAAUUUUUGGUGUCCUACCUAAUAGUAGGAC
ensembl:snRNA U5 U5 spliceosomal RNA